ACAUCCAGCGAACUUGGCAGAGAUGCCUUGGUGCCUUCGGGAACGCUGAGACAGGUGCUGCAUGGCUGUCGUCAGCUCGUGUUGUGAAAUGUUGGGUUAAGUCCCGNAACGAGCGCAACCCUUAUCCUUUGUUGCCAGCGAUUCGGUCGGGAACUCAAAGGAGACUGCCGGUGAUAAACCGGAGGAAGGUGGGGAUGACGUCAAGUCAUCAUGGCCCUUACGAGUAGGGCUACACACGUGCUACAAUGGCGCAUACAAAGAGAAGCGACCUCGCGAGAGCAAGCGGACCUCAUAAAGUGCGUCGUAGUCCGGAUCGGAGUCUGCAACUCGACUCCGUGAAGUCGGAAUCGCUAGUAAUCGUGGAUCAGAAUGCCACGGUGAAUACGUUCCCGGGCCUUGUACACACCACCCGUCACACCAUGGGAGUGGGUUGCAAAAGAAGUAGGUAGCUUAACCUCCGGGAGGGCGCUUACCACUUUGUGAUUCAUGACUGGGGUGAAGUCGUAACAAGGUAAGCGUAGCGAG
rnacentral:rRNA from 1 species